rnacentral:rRNA from 1 species
AAUGAACGCUGGCGGCAGGCCUAACACAUGCAAGUCGAACGGGUCCUUCGGGACUAGUGGCGGACGGGUGAGUAACGCGUGGGAACGUGCCCCUUGGUACGGAAUAGCCCCGGGAAACUGGGAGUAAUACCGUAUGUGGUCGAGAGACGAAAGAUUUAUCGCCAAGGGAUCGGCCCGCGUUGGAUUAGGUAGUUGGUGGGGUAAUGGCCUACCAAGCCGACGAUCCAUAGCUGGUUUGAGAGGAUGAUCAGCCACACUGGGACUGAGACACGGCCCAGACUCCUACGGGAGGCAGCAGUGGGGAAUCUUAGACAAUGGGGGAAACCCUGAUCUAGCCAUGCCGCGUGAUCGAUGAAGGCCUUAGGGUUGUAAAGAUCUUUCAGGUGGGAAGAUAAUGACUGUACCACCAGAAGAAGCCCCGGCUAACUCCGUGCCAGCCGCCGCCGUAA